GAUGAACGCUGGCGGCGUGCCUAAUACAUGCAAGUCGAGCGAACAGACGAGGAGCUUGCUCCUCUGCCGUUAGCGGCGGACGGGUGAGUAACACGUGGAUAACCUCCCUUUACGACUGUGAUAACUUCGGGAAACCGGAGCUAAUACCGGAUAAUAUAUUGAACCGCAUGGUUCAGUAGUGAAAGACGGUUUUGCUGUCACUUAUAGCUGGAUCCGCGCCGCAUUAGCUAGUUGGUAAGGUAACGGCUUACCAAGGCAACGAUGCGUAGCCGACCUGAGAGGGUGAUCGGCCACACUGGAACUGAGACACGGUCCAGACUCCUACGGGAGGCAGCAGUAGGGAAUCUUCCGCAAUGGGCGAAAGCCUGACGGAGCAACGCUGCGUGAGUGAUGAAGGUCUUCGGAUCGUAAAACUCUGUUAUUAGGGAAGAACAAAUGUGUAAGUAACUAUGCACGUCUUGACGGUACCUAAUCAGAAAGCCACGGCUAACUACGUG
rnacentral:rRNA from 1 species